UUUUUGUUACAGCAGCUAUCACUGUGUUGUUAUGAAGUCAGUUUGUGGGGGGCACUAAUAGGGAAAAACUUAAACUGCUGGAAUAAAGAGUUUUAAAGGGUUAGUGAUGGAAAACUUGCAGGUCAAUGGGCAUCAGUGUUUAAGGUUGGUAAACACUUGUACACAGACGCAUAUAAUACUACCCGCCUGACAUUGGCAUGUGUUAUUCAGGUGUCAAAGUUGUGCAGAAUUGAAGGAAGAAACCUCAAAGACAGUGCCAGAAGGAUGCUGGGCAGGGUUUUAAAAAAAUUCCCUCAUGUCCAAAUUCUACAUGAAGGGGGGUGGUCCGCUGCAGAAAGAGGCAUCUGAAAAGACUGCAAAGAAAAGACAGUGUUGUAAAUACAACUUAAC